GUGCUUGCUUCAGCAGCACAUAUACUAAAACUGGAACUAUAUAGAGAAGAUUAUUAGCAUGGCCCUUGUGCAAGGAUGACAUGCAAAUUCGUGAAGCUUUCCAUAUUUAA
rnacentral:snRNA from 1 species